GAUGAACGCUGGCGGCGUGCCUAAUACAUGCAAGUCGAGCGAACAGACGAGGAGCUUGCUCCUCUGACGUUAGCGGCGGACGGGUGAGUAACACGUGGAUAACCUACCUAUAAGACUGGGAUAACUUCGGGAAACCGGAGCUAAUACCGGAUAAUAUAUUGAACCGCAUGGUUCAAUAGUGAAAGACGGUUUUGCUGUCACUUAUAGAUGGAUCCGCGCCGCAUUAGCUAGUUGGUAAGGUAACGGCUUACCAAGGCAACGAUGCGUAGCCGACCUGAGAGGGUGAUCGGCCACACUGGAACUGAGACACGGUCCAGACUCCUACGGGAGGCAGCAGUAGGGAAUCUUCCGCAAAGGGCGAAAGCCUGACGGAGCAACGCCGCGUGAGUGAUGAAGGUCUUCGGAUCGUAAAACUCUAUUAUUAGGGAAGAACAAAUGUGUAAGUAACUAUGCACGUCUUGACGGUACCUAAUCAGAAAGCCACGGCUAACUACGUG
rnacentral:rRNA from 1 species